AUUUUAUGUUUUCAAGACAAAAUCAUGCCGUUUUUCUCCACUUGUGGAUGCAAAAAUUCGCUGUAAAGACUUUAAAAGGAAGAAUAUUUCUUCUGAAAGGUAAGAUUUGUGAAAAUUUUAAGUUUUUACCUUUUAUUCGACUAAUUUUCGAUUGGCAAAGUCAGGGGCCGAUAUGCGUAUAAAAUCGAGGUAUAAAUAUGUAUUUGUCAAACACUUAUAUUUUAUAUUUACACCAAUACUUCUGGAGCAGACAUAAAAAACGUUGUACAUGGUUAUUUAUACAUUGUGUACAUACAUUUUCUUUCUAGUUUCAGGCACUGGCUUUUGUUUUUAGUGCCAGUUUAUUAGUUUAAACAGCAUGCUGCUCAUGCAAUCUGUAGUUUGCUUUGUUUCAUAAAGAGCAGUUAGCACUAGAUUUAUAUACAGUAUAAACAAGCUGUAUUGUAUCCUUCACAAAUAUUAUAAACUGCUAGUCUUGCUAGGUUUUGUAUCGGCAUUUACCAAUUGGCUGUGUAAUUUAGGCUUUUUUUGUGGGGUUGUGCACUACAUUUCAGUUCAGCAUUGAGCUAUCAUCGACUUGUGCAUACCCAAAUUUGCAUGAUUUAUACUUAUAUCAUUCUUGCAUUGGCAUUACCUUGAAUGCUAGUAUGGGUCAACCUGACAACCUCUAUGCCUCAUAAAAAUUUCCAAACAAAAAACCUCCUUCACUCAGAAAAUACCUCUGUCAUGGGAGUCUUGAUUUAUGUUUAGCCAUAUUUAUUUAGAUCCCUUAGAGGUUAACCCAUUGAGUCACAUUGCACCCUACUUUAUUAUUUUACUCUGUCUGAUGCCAGACAAUUUUACUCAUCAAGUAGAGAGUGCUGGUGCUUAAUGGGUUAAUAACUAGCCUAUGUGUAUAGUUAUGAGUCGCAUUGCACCCUGAUGCACCCUUUACUCUGUCUAAUGCCAGAUUAUUUUACUCAUCAAUUGGGGAGAGCGAUGGCGCUUAAUGGGUUAAUUCAGAUUUAUACAAAGUAGGGGUGGUGGUCUGAGCUAACUGGCCAGAACCUACAGUAUGCACCCAUUGCAAUUAAUUUUGAAAUGUACAUGAAACAGUUUCCAUAAAAUAAAACAAACCAUAGAAUAAAACAAUCAUAAACAAAAUAACUUUAUUUCUCAUUUCUAUUACAGGCAUCAAAGUGAUAUGUAAUUAUACAAGAACUGAAGCAAAAAUGUUCUUGCUGUAACAGAUGUAUUGUAUCAUGAUAGUUGACAUUGAUGUAUAUGAUCUUAUUUGGGUGUAACAAUGUGUAGUAAUACAGUAUCUGUAGUAGUAAUCUGUUAUUGCUACCAAAAGAAAAUUGAAAAGAGAUAAACAUGCCAAACAGCCAAAGUCACAGCUCAUGGGACUACAAAGUGAUAAUUAUACUAGAAUAACUUGAUUAUACAGUUAGUUCAAACUGAUUGGGUCAUUCAAAAAAAUAUCCACACCCCUAAUGGAAGAGAUGGGAGGUUGAGCUUCCUCCCACUUUUGGACACCCUUAGCUAAUACUUUUACUAUUAUCAGCAGUUGAGUUCUGCCCACGUCAGACAGCACUUCAGACAUCUGUGGAGUUAGUGUUUAUCUUUUCUGGAAUGACUCAUUGGUGAUUGGUAGUUAAUAAUUAUUCAUUGAAGAAUUUAAAUUAAAAUAAUACAAUUUCAACUGCAUCAUUGUGGUGGUAAAUAAUUCUGCAAUAAACAAGAAUAGGUUAUAUAGGUUACUCUAAAAGAGAAAAAGCAUGAAAAAUCAUAUCAAGGGAAAAUGAGGAAUACAAAAGAAAUAUACUAGGUUUUCAGACGAUGCUCGAACUUUGUUGGCAAGUUGAGUGACCCCUUAAAAAUACAUUGUUUUUUCAGAAUUAUAUUUAUCAAGAAACUAUUAGAAGUUACAGAAACCAUAAUCCUAUGUGUAUGUACACCAAAAGCUAAAAAAAUAUGAACAAAUAUAAAGGCCCCAAGCUCUUCA
rnacentral:lncRNA from 1 species